GUGGGGAAUAUUGGACAAUGGGCGCAAGCCUGAUCCAGCAAUGCCGCGUGGGUGAAGAAGGUCUUCGGAUCGUAAAGCCCUUUCGACAGGGACGAUGAUGACGGUACCUGUAGAAGAAGCCCCGGCUAACUUCGUGCCAGCAGCCGCGGUAAUACGAAGGGGGCUAGCGUUACUCGGAAUUACUGGGCGUAAAGGGCGCGUAGGCGGCUCUGUUAGUCAGGCGUGAAAUUCCUGGGCUUAACCUGGGGACUGCGCUUGAUACUGCAGGGCUUGAGGCCGAGAGAGGGUGGUGGAAUUCCCAGUGUAGAGGUGAAAGUCGUAGAUAUUGGGAAGAACACCGGUGGCGAAGGCGACCACCUGGCUCGGUUCUGACGCUGAGGCGCGACAGCGUGGGGAGCAAACAGGAUUAGAAACCCCAGUAGUCC
rnacentral:rRNA from 1 species